GACGAACGCUGGCGGCGUGCUUAACACAUGCAAGUCGAGCGGAGCGGCGAACGGGUGAGUAACGCGUGAGUAAUUGCCCCCCUCUCUGGGAUAACAGUUGGUCACGGCUGCUAAUACCGGAUAGUGGGGGAUGACUCGCGUCCUAUCAGCUUUUUGGUGGGGUAGUGGCCUACCAAGGCGAAGACGGGUAGCCGGCCUGCGAGGGCGCCCGGCCACAUUGGGCUGAGGUACGGCACAAACGCCGACGGGAGGCAGAAGUGGGGAAUAUUGCACAAUGGGGGAAACCCUGAUGCAGCAACGCCGCGUGCGGGAGGACGGCCUUCGGGUUGUAAACCGCUUUCAGCCAUGACGCGGUAGUGGCAGAAGAAGCACCGGCUAACUACGUGCCAGCAGCCGCGGUAAUAC
rnacentral:rRNA from 1 species